ACGCCAUUCUCAUUGUUCUUCCUGGGAGUGCUGUACAUCUGGGUCGGACUUCCUACUGAAAUGGUGGCCUUUCUGAUGAGUCCGGCUGGUCAGUGACAUGGCGUGGCCCUGUUUUGAGAUGAACGCAGCGUGGAGUCAAGGGAGAGAGACGGUCGGCGCUUCCUUGAAGGCUGGGCCGUGGGGAAGAAGGCCUCACAGAACCAUUGGCCAAGGCGUGGCGCAAUGAUUAGCCGGUGCCCUCUCUGCCCUUGGCUGUGUUUCCUGGCCAGCGAAGAAGCUUGUAUCGACACGCUUGGAACGGAUGAAGACAUGGAUGUUUCCCAAUUGUUUGACUUCUAGCCUUCCUGGGUGACCUGCAUGUCACUAGCUGAGAGGCCACAGCAGAGCCCGGAUGGGGCCUCCCGGCUUCUAGGGUGGAUUGCCAACUAACGAAUAAGGCCAUUUGAUGCCGGUCUCGAGGUUAGAAGUCAACAGUCAGGAUUUUCACAACAUCAUCUCUUAAAGACGUUACUAAGUGGACACACAUCAUCCUUACAACUCCUGGAACUCAGAGAGGAAACCGUCUGACUUUGGAGCUGUGGCCAAUGGUGGCUUCAACGGGAUUUUCGUAAUAUUCGAGUAGAGUGACACCAGACAUUUUUACAGAUCCUCAAAAUCUUCAAAAGGCAUUUAAGUAGUUGUGGCUACAUUAAAUCUUCUUGAAGAAGUAAAUAUCUUUUAAAGUAUGACAUUGAAUUGGGAUACGGGCACGGACACAGCUGAUGCUAUAAGUUUCUCUUCAGAAGUAAAUUAGUGUCAUUUCUUAUGGUUCAUUGUCAUGGAGGAAGCGGUGGCAGUCGAAGUUCUGGAAAGCCAUCAAAUUUACUCACUGGUCGCAUCCACAGGACCUGCACUUUGUUAAACAAUGCGCGUAGAAUGAUGAGCAAGUCAGGGACUGAAGACCUGUCAGUGGAAAUUUAUACUUUGUUUUUAAGUAAGAGAGAAGAAAUAUGAAUGACCCAGGAAAAAGAAGUGACCACA